GCGGAUAAGCCGAAGUCGGAGACCUUGAGGUUCCCUUCCCUGUCGAGGAGGAGAUUCUGCGGCUUCACGUCGCGGUGAGCCACGCCGUCUCGGUGAGAGAACUGAAGCGCGGAGGCGAGCUGCUGGAAGUAGCGACGCGCUGUGGAUUCGGGGAGGCGGCCGCGGCGGAGGAGUUUGGAGAAGAGCUCGCCGCCGGAGGCGAGUUCCAUGACGAUGUAGAUCUUGGAUUUGGUAGCCAUGACUUCGUGGAUCUUGAGGAUGUUGGGAUGGUCGCGGAGACGGCGCAUCGCGUCGAUCUCACGGAUUAUUCUCGGCUCCAUGUU
rnacentral:lncRNA from 1 species